UAGGGAAUUUUCCACAAUGGGCGAAAGCCUGAUGGAGCAAUGCCGCGUGAAGGAUGAAGCAUUUCGGUGUGUAAACUUCUUUUCUCAGGGACGAUAGUGACGGUACCUGAGGAAUAAGCAUCGGCUAACUACGUGCCAGCAGCAGCGGUAAUACGUAGGAUGCGAGCGUUAACCGGAAUUAUUGGGCGUAAAGAGCGCGUAGGCGGUUUCGAAAGUCUGUUGUUAAAUACUUGCGCCUAACGUAAGUCCUGCAACGGAUACUUCGAGGCUAGAGAAGAUGCGGGGUAGACGGAAUUCCCGGUGUAGCGGUAAAAUGCAUUGAUAUCGGGAGGAACACCAGAAGCGAAGGCGGUCUACUAACAUCUUUCUGACGCUAAGGUGCGAAGGCUAGGGUAGCGAAAGGG
rnacentral:rRNA from 1 species